rnacentral:rRNA from 1 species
UAGAGGAAGUAAAAGUCGUAACAAGGUUUCCGUAGGUGAACCUGCGGAAGGAUCAUUAAUGAAAUUAUAAUCCGGCGAGGGGAAAGGCGGAGAGUUGUAGCUGGCCUCCAGGGGCAUGUGCACGCUCUCUUCCGGACCUUUCGCCGUAUGGGCGCGGGGCGACCCGCGUCUUCAUAUACCUCUUCGUGUAGAAAGUCUUUGAAUGUUUUACCAUCAUCGAGUCGCGACUUCUAGGAGACGCGAUUCUUUGAGAAAAAAGUUAUUACAACUUUCAGCAACGGAUCUCUUGGCUCUCGCAUCGAUGAAGAACGCAGCGAAUCGCGAUAUGUAAUGUGAAUUGCAGAUCUACAGUGAAUCAUCGAAUCUUUGAACGCACCUUGCGCUCCUCGGUGUUCCGAGGAGCAUGCCUGUUUGAGUGUCAGUAAAUUCUCAACCCCUCUCGAUUUGCUUCGAGCGGGUGCUUGGAUGUUGGGGGCUGCCGGAGACACUGGAUUCGUCCAGGACUCGGGCUCCUCUUAAAUGAAUCGGCUCGCGGUCGACUUUCGACUUUGCAUGACAAGGCCUUUGGCGUGAUAAUGAUCGCCGUUCGCCGAAGUGCAAGACAGAAUGGUCCCGUGCCUCUAAUGCGUCGACGCCUCUAGGGGCGUCUUCCUCAUUGACGUUUGACCUCAAAUCAGGUAGGACUACCCGCUGAACUUAA